AUACGGAGGGUGCAAGCGUUACUCGGAAUCACUGGGCGUAAAGCGCGCGCGGGCGGUCUUUUAAGUUGGAUGUGAAAGCCUACGGCUCAACCGUAGAACUGCAUCCAAAACUAUUAGACUAGAGUGUGGGAGAGGAAGAUGGAAUUAGUUGUGUAGGGGUAAAAUCCGUAGAGAUAACUAGGAAUACCAAAAGCGAAGGCAAUCUUCUGGAACACUACUGACGCUGAGGCGCGAAAGCGUGGGGAGCAAACAGGAUUAGAAACCCUAGUAGUCC
rnacentral:rRNA from 1 species